rnacentral:rRNA from 1 species
AUGCACGCUGGCGGCGUGCCUAAUACCUGCCAGUCGAGCGAACGGACGAGAAGCUUGCUUUUCUGAUGUUAGCGGCGGACGGGUGAGUAACACGUGGAUAACCUACCUAUAAGACUGGGAUAACUUCGGGAAACCGGAGCUAAUACCGGAUAAUAUUUUGAACCGCAUGGUUCAAAAGUGAAAGACGGUCUUGCUGUCACUUAUAGAUGGAUCCGCGCUGCAUUAGCUAGUUGGUAAGGUAACGGCUUACCGAGGCAACGAUGCAUAGCCGACCUGAGAGGGUGAUCGGCCACACUGGAACUGAGACACGGUCCAGACUCCUACGGGAGGCAGCAGUAGGGAAUCUUCCGCAAUGGGCGAAAGCCUGACGGAGCAACGCCGCGUGAGUGAUGAAGGUCUUCGGAUCGUAAAACUCUGUUAUUAGGGAAGAACAUAUGUGUAAGUAACUGUGCACAUCUUGACGGUACCUAAUCAGAAAGCCACGGCUAACUACGUG